rnacentral:rRNA from 1 species
GACAGAGGAUGCAAGUGUUAUCCGGAAUCACUGGGCGUAAAGCGUCUGUGAGGUGGUUACAAUAAGACAACUGUUAAAUCUUGAGGCUCAACUUCAAAAAUCGCAGUCGAAACUAUUGGACUCGAGUACGGUAGGGGCAGAGGGAAUUUCCGGUGGAGCGGUGAAAUGCGUAGAGAUACGGAAAGAACACCAACGGCGAAAGCAACUCUGCGUGGGCCGACACUGACACUGGAGAGACGAAAGCUAGGGAGCGAA